UACGUAGGGUGCAAGCGUUAAUCGGAAUUACUGGGCGUAAAGCGUGCGUAGGCGGUUCGUUAAGUUCGUCGUGAAAGCCCCGGGCUCAACCUGGGAACUGCGAUGGAAACUGGCGGGCUUGAGUGUGGCAGAGGGGGGUGGAAUUCCGCGUGUAGCAGUGAAAUGCGUAGAGAUGCGGAGGAACACCGAUGGCGAAGGCAGCCCCCUGGGCCAACACUGACGCUCAGGCACGAAAGCGUGGGGAGCAAACAGG
rnacentral:rRNA from 1 species